UACGUAGGGUGCGAGCGUUGUCCGGAUUUAUUGGGCGUAAAGAGCUCGUAGGCGGUUCGAUAAGUCGGACGUGAAAUCUCCACGCUCAACGUGGAGGGGCCGUUCGAUACUGUCGUGACUCGAGUCCGGUAGGGGAGUGUGGAAUUCCCGGUGUAGCGGUGAAAUGCGCAGAGAUCGGGAGGAACACCCGUAGCGAAGGCGGCACUCUGGGCCGGUACUGACGCUGAGGAGCGAAAGCGUGGGGAGCAAACAGGG
rnacentral:rRNA from 1 species